UACAGCGAAACUGCGAAUGGCUCAUUAUAUAAGUUCAUCUUUUUAUUUGAUAGUGCCUUACUACUUGGAUAACCGUGGUAAUUCUAGAGCUAAUACAUGCUAAAAACCCCGACUUCGGAAGGGGUGUAUUUAUUAGAUACAAAACCAAUGCCCUUCGGGGCUCUUUGGUGAUUCAUGAUAACUAUACGAAUCGCACGGCCUUGCGCCGGCGAUGGUUCAUUCAAAUUUCUUCCCUAUCAACUUUCGAUGUUUGGGUAUUGGCCAAACAUGGUUGCAACGGGUAACGGAGGGUUAGGGCUCGACCCCGGAGAAGGAGCCUGAGAAACGGCUACUACAUCCAAGGAAGGCAGCAGGCGCGCAAAUUACCCAAUCCCGACUCGGGGAGGUAGUGACAAUAAAUACUGAUACAGGGCCCUUUCGGGCCUUGUAAUUGGAAUGAGUACAAUUUAAAUCCCUUAACGAGGAACAAUUGGAGGGCAAGUCUGGUGCCAGCAGCCGCGGUAAUUCCAGCUCCAAUAGCGUAUAU
rnacentral:rRNA from 1 species